rnacentral:rRNA from 1 species
CCUACGGGAGGCAGCAGUGAGGAAUAUUGGUCAAUGGGCGCGAGUCUGAACCAGCCAAGUAGCGUGAAGGAUGACUGCUCUAUGAGUUGUAAACUUCUUUUAUAAAGGAAUAAAGUGAGGUACGUGUGCCUUUUUGUAUGUACUUUAUGAAUAAGGAUCGGCUAACUCCGUGCCAGCAGCCGCGGUAAUACGGAGGAUUCGAGCGUUAUCCGGAUUUAUUGGGUUUAAAGGGAGCGUAGAUGGGUUGUUAAGUCAGUUGUGAAAGCUUGCGGCUCAACCGUAAAAUUGCAAUUGAUACUGGCGGCCUUGAGUACAGUUGAGGUAGGCGGAAUGUGUGGUGUAGCGGUGAAAUGCUUAGAGAUCACAAAGAACUCCGAUUGCGAAGGCAGCCUACUAAACUGCCACUGACAUUGAGGCUCGAAAGUGUGGGUAUCAAACAGGAUUAGAUACCCCAGUAGUC